ACACCUCAACUCUCGUGGUCUUCCACGAUGAGCUUGGACUUUUGGAGGUUUGCUGGCCCUGCGGCCGGCUCCUCUCAAACGAAUCAGCUUGCCGAUGUUUGGUGGCAUCACGGGUGUGAUAACUAUCUACGCUCGCGGUCGUCUGCCAGGUUACCCUCAGCGAUGAAGGUUCAUUGGGGCUCACAAACGUCUCUCCUCAGCGAAGACAACUUUUGAAC
rnacentral:misc_RNA from 2 species